rnacentral:rRNA from 1 species
GAUGAACGCUGGCGGCGUGCCUAAUACAUGCAGGUCGAGCGAACGGACGAGAAGCUUGCUUCUCUGAUGUUAGCGGCGGACGGGUGAGUAACACGUGGAUAACCUACCUAUAAGACUGGGAUAACUUCGGGAAACCGUAGCUAAUACCGGAUAAUAUUUUGAACCGCAUGGUUCAAAAGUGAAAGACGGUCUUGCUGUCACUUAUAGAUGGAUCCGCGCUGCAUUAGCUAGUUGGUAAGGUAACGGCUUACCAAGGCAACGAUGCAUAGCCGACCUGAGAGGGUGAUCGGCCACACUGGAACUGAGACACGGUCCAGACUCCUACGGGAGGCAGCAGUAGGGAAUCUUCCGCAAUGGGCGAAAGCCUGACGGAGCAACGCCGCGUGAGUGAUGAAGGUCUUCGGAUCGUAAAACGCUGUUAUUAGGGAAGAACAUAUGUGUAAGUAACUGUGCACAUCUUGACGGUACCUAAUCAGAAAGCCACGGCUAACUACGU